rnacentral:lncRNA from 1 species
GUCACUGGCUGGGGGCCUCCAGGGAGAGGGAUGGUCAGCUUUAGGGGCUGGGGGCUGAUGUGAGGACCGGGUGCUCUUGGUGGCUGCAAAUGUCCCUGGUCAUGUGGCCUUGCAGGCCAGCAAGUGGCUAUCCAUGGCCCUACCAGGAGGCUGUGUAACUUCGUUCAUUCAUUCAUUCAUUCAUUGAACAGCUGUAUCCCGGGAUCUCUGAUGUGCCAGGCACCAUCCACUGUCCCAGGCGCUCCAUUCUAUCUCCGUAUCCCUGGAACACAGCCCAGUCAUCCCUGCUCACUUGCAGUCCCUGAUGUCAGCAUGCUGAUGGAGGAAGAGGCAGAGUGACUCUCCCACGGAGCCCAUGUCCCUCCAGCAACCCCGCCUCCACAUGGGAUCCUGGGGCCGGAGGGCUCACUGCAGAAUCCUGGCCUCGGCGUCCUGAGCAACUUGAGGCGGGUGCCCCUCCCGAGACCCAGCAGGCUCCCAACCCACAGGAAGUGAGCGAACAAGUGAGCGGACUGGCAGGAGCUGCCCACGGUCAUUUCCUGCACUCCCUCGGCCUGGGACCCUGGAGAGCAGGGAUCUCUCGCUCCUGAGGCCCCCUCAGUCCCACCUCGCGGUGGUGGGCAGUGAGCUGGGGUCUGUUGACGUCACCAGCGUUGGGGGUGAGGAGGGCACACUGCAGGUGUG